rnacentral:rRNA from 1 species
ACUCCUACGGGAGGCAGCAGUGGGGAAUAUUGCACAAUGGGGGCAACCCUGAUCCAGCCAUGCCGCGUGCAGGAAGACUGCCCUAUGGGUUGUAAACUGCUUUUGUACAGGAAGAAACAUUCCCUCGUGAGGGAGCUUGACGGUACUGUAAGAAUAAGGAUCGGCUAACUCCGUGCCAGCAGCCGCGGUAAUACGGAGGAUCCAAGCGUUAUCCGGAAUCAUUGGGUUUAAAGGGUCCGUAGGUGGACGAUUAAGUCAGGGGUGAAAGUCUGCAGCUCAACUGUAGAAUUGCCUUUGAUACUGGUUGUCUUGAAUUAUUGUGAAGUGGUUAGAAUAUGUAGUGUAGCGGUGAAAUGCAUAGAUAUUACAUAGAAUACCAAUUGCGAAGGCAGAUCACUAACAAUAUAUUGACACUGAUGGACGAAAGCGUGGGGAGCGAACAGGAUUAGAUACCCUGGUAGGAUAGCGU